rnacentral:rRNA from 1 species
UACGUAGGGUGCAAGCGUUAAUCGGAAUUACUGGGCGUAAAGCGUGCGCAGGCGGUUAUGUAAGACAGGUGUGAAAUCCCCGGGCUUAACCUGGGAACUGCAUUUGUGACUGCAAAUCUCGAGUCCGGAAGAGGGUGAGUGGAAUUCCUAGUGUAGAAGGUGAAAUUCGUAGAUAUUAGGAAGAACACCAGUGGCGAAGGCGGCUCACUGGUCCGGUACUGACGCUGAGGUGCGAAAGCGUGGGGAGCAAACAGG